GUGAGAUAUGAAAAAUAUAAGUUUUUGGUUUUUAAAAGUUUUCAAUUAGAUCUAUGAUGAUCCGAAAAUUAGAUCGACGAUUCGAGGCCACCGAUGGACUCAGCACAUCGAGACCUUCGAGAUUGGACUGACCCCGCUUUAAUUGGACACUGUUUGAAAAAAGUGAUCAUCGGAUAGUCCAAAUCGUUUGGUGAAAUUUUCGACUUUUUGACACCCGAAAAUUAAAUAUAAUUAUAU
rnacentral:misc_RNA from 1 species